rnacentral:rRNA from 1 species
UAACGACUCUCGGCAACGGAUAUCUCGGCUCUCGCAUCGAUGAAGAACGCAGCAAAAUGCGAUACUUGGUGUGAAUUGCAGAAUCCCGUGAAUCAUCGAGUUUUUGAACGCAAGUUGCGCCCGAAGCCUUCCGGCCAAGGGCACGUCUGCCUGGGUGUCACGC